rnacentral:tRNA from 1 species
UGUGGGGUAGAGCAGUCUGGUAGCUCGCAGUGCUCAUAACUCUGAGGUCAUGGGUUCAAAUCCCAUCCCCGCAA